AUACAGAGGGUGCGAGCGUUAAUCGGAAUUACUGGGCGUAAAGCGCGCGUAGGCGGUUUGUUAAGUUGGAUGUGAAAGCCCCGGGCUCAACCUGGGAACUGCAUUCAAAACUGGCAGGCUAGAGUAUGAUAGAGGGAAGUGGAAUUCCGGGUGUAGCGGUGAAAUGCGUAGAUAUCCGGAGGAACAUCAGUGGCGAAGGCGGCUUCCUGGACCAAUACUGACGCUGAGGUGCGAAAGCGUGGGGAGCAAACAGGAUUAGAAACCCGAGUAGUCC
rnacentral:rRNA from 1 species